UCGCAGGUGGUACCUUAUUUGGCUCUGGCCUGUACAUUUGUCACGCCUCAAAAUUUACAUACAGACCAGCCCACUGGAAUUAUAAAGCAGACAGUUCUUCAAGGAUAUCGAAAAUGAGCCACGGUCGUAAAUGCAGUGUUCCAGGCUGAAACUUAGGCUACAAAGAAAGCUGAGACUUUCCAUAGUCUUCCCAAGGAUUCAAAAGUUCGAGGGGCAUGGAUAAUGUUUUUCUACCAGAAGAUCCCUGCAAAGUUCGCCACUCCGUUAUUAAUUUACAAAACAUUUCACCGAAGGCAGUUUUCAAAACCUUGGACAGUUAAGCAGGAUUUGCUAAGCUGCUGUUACUGAAACGAGGGGCUGUUCAAGGUCAUCACAACCGCAUGCUGUUUUAUCUUGCAGCCAUGCACUUCAAUGAGAAUGCUGAGUCCCCACAACGGAAGACAGCCAAGGAGAAACUAUGUACAGACUUGCCAAACAAUUUGACUUGUGUGCUCAGCUUGACAGACCUUCCAUGGAGGAUGCUGUUGCUGAACAUGUGUCACGGUUCAGUCGAAAAAGAGUCUGAAUCCAACGUACUGCCCUGAAGUAUCCGGAUAUGCGUAGCACCACACACGAGGGGAUCAUGACACGGACGCUUCUUCAAAGGAAACCCCAGCUCCUGCUCACAAAAGACCUGUAGGCCAAGUCACUUCAUUGCCUGCAAUGAGAACAGGGUGGAAAAGCAAAAAAAAUGUACUAUUUAUUUUUUAAUAUUUUACAUCAGAGUAUCACUGGACAAUUGUUGAAAAAAAUAAAUAAAGUUUAUCAUUUUGUGGUGUUGAUCAAACUGUGUUUU